rnacentral:rRNA from 1 species
UGGGGAAUAUUGGACAAUGGGGGGAACCCUGAUCCAGCCAUGCCGCGUGUGUGAAGAAGGCCUUAUGGUUGUAAAGCACUUUAAGCGAGGAGGAGGGUACUGGUAUUAAUACUACCAGGUACUGGACGUUACUCGCAGAAUAAGCACCGGCUAACUCUGUGCCAGCAGCCGCGGUAAUACAGAGGGUGCGAGCGUUAAUCGGAUUUACUGGGCGUAAAGCGUGCGUAGGCGGCUAAUUGAGUCGGAUGUGAAAUCCCCGAGCUUAACUUGGGAAUUGCAUUCGAUACUGGUUAGCUAGAGUGUGGGAGAGGAUGGUAGAAUUCCAGGUGUAGCGGAGAAAUGCGUAGAGAUCUGGAGGAAUACCGAUGGCGAAGGCAGCCAUCUGGCCUAAUACUGACGCUGAGGUACGAAAGCAUGGGGAGCAAACAGG